CGGCCGCGCAGGGCCCCAGCGGCUCCCCGGCAGAAAGCUGCGGCCUGGGAGAGCGGUUCGCUCAUGUCACGCAGGGGCUGGACGCGCCACGCGCGGUUGGUCCCUCACUGGUUUUCCUGGCAGGCCAGAAAAAGCCUUCGUGCCCCACGGGAUACCAACGCGCUGUGAAACCCCCCGUCCCUCGGCCGCCAGCGCCGGCGUCACGGCUUGGCACUGGUCUCUGCAUUUAGCUACACUCCUCCAUAGCAACCGGCGGGAUCACGGCUUGGCGGGCCGCCGGCGAAGGCUGGGGUGUGCAGAACGAGCCACACUGCGAACGCGGUGUUUGUACGUGUUAGUACGUGCACAGGACAGGAGCUGCAGCCCCGUCUGCUCUCCUGGUGCUGGGACCCACCGCUGCUGGCACGGCUGCUUUGCUCGUGGCAGAGGGCCUGAGGCUGCGCAAGGAGCUGGAUGCUCUUCCCUACAGCAUGCAGCCGUCGAGAGCCACGAGUGGGACCCAGACUGCUCGACCCAGGGAUGAGCUUGGUGCAGCUCCACUGCCUUCUCCUGGGCACCAUAAAAUGGUCACACAGAUGUCCAUGUCCACAGGGCUGUGGCACUGCAAUGACAACAGCACAGAAAUGCAAUCAGGGGGCCAAGGAUGGGAGUUCUGGUCCUCUCAUCUCAAAAAGGAUAAAUGAGACCUGAAAAAAGUUUGGAUGCUCAUACAUAUGCAACAGACUUUGUACAGUGAAGAACUGUGCAGGCUGGGACUCUUCAGCCUGGAAGAAGGACAAGGAGUGGGGGAGGAGGUCUACAAAAUCAUGAGUGACCCAGAAAGGAUGGGGAAGGAUUGACUGUUUACUGUUUCUUCUGACACAGACCUAUCAACCGCUUUUGCCUUGACUGGAGCCUCAAAUGAAUGUGAAACCAUUGUGCUGCAGAUGUUACGUCCAAAAGUUUAGCACUGUCUUAGCCCACGCUUCUUGCAACACUUGGGGCUAAGUUCAUGGCAAGCCUUUGAGAGGCGGGCUCAAGAGAGCGGUGCCUCGGAAACAUUUUGUAACCAUGUUUUCACGUGGAGAGCUUGACCAUGGCCAAGUGGAGCUUUACCAAACUGCUCAACAUGAAAAUAUUCAGAGCUGGGAGGAGAACAAAUCCUGGAUGAAGCUGGACAAA